ensembl:lncRNA
GAGAGCAGAUGAGAGAACCGAGAGGGAGAGAGUAGAUAAUAGAGACGAGAGAGAGAGGGAGAGAGAGAGAGAGAGAGAGAGAGAGAGAGAGAAGGAAGGAAAAAAUUGCAUACAGUCUAGGUUAGCAUUCAGGAGAUUUUGGGCACUGAAUACACUCUCCUCUCCUCUCCUCCGCCAUGACCCGCCCCACCACCAUCUCACUUGGACUUCUGCUCCUCCUCAUUGGCCACACAGCAGCAGGACCUGAGUCUGAGCUCCAACCCAGAGCUGUGCGGUCGAGUGCCUGUCAGGACCACAGUACUCUUCAUGACAGACUGGAUGUAGUGGAGAAGCGUGUAGAGGACACAGUCCAGAAGCUGGAGGAUGAGCUGGCUGUGCUCCUGGAUGCCAUAGAGGCCCCUGAGUGGAGCCCCCUGCUGGAAACUGCUGGAAAACCUGUGGUGGACAUCCUGGAUGGCCAGGGACUGGGAGAAGGUGGCGACUCCUGAGAGAGGAGAGCAGAGAUCGCUGUUGAGGGGCUAUGCUACUUCACUCUGCCCUGAUGAGAGUGCACCUGGCAAGGACAGACAAUGAAAGAUACUUGAAUGUACAAUCUUUGUUUUUCUGGACUUGAAAGUGUACACAAACUGUAUAAAACAAGCCCUUUGAUGAGUAAACACAGGCUUAGUAUGUAUUCUGUGCAACAGUUGAUAGAUCACGACACUAAUGCUUACUUGACUGCAUAAUACACUCCUCUAAUCCUCAGACACUCUCAUCCUUUCUUCUUAGACUAAACCGGAAUCCCUACACACAAGGGUAACUGUCUCAGCCUCUCAGGAUGGCUACAGUUCUAAACAAUUGAUACGUUGGUUUUUUAUCUAGUAAUGUAUUCUGUUCUGUGUGGGAUUGUGUCCCUUUCUCGUCCCAUGCCUCUGUUCCACCCCCUGGUGCCAGUUGAGAGCUACACAUGUAGCACCGAGCCACAAGGUAGGCCGUGCCCUUUACCACAGAUCAAGAAUCAGGUUACACAACCCCUAUCCUAAACCAUUAGGGAGGCUUGAAAUAACACCCAACCUUGUAUCAGUGGUUAAGGGCAACUAAUAAUCUCAAUGUGAAUGAAUGAUGAAAACCACUAGAGAGUACUGGAAGGAUUUUAUUUAUCAAAGCAGCUAAAGCAACAUGUUUCAAUACACAGAGCAGUUUGAAUAGGUACAGUACAUGGCUUCCACUGAGACCCAGGCUAGUUGCAUUUUUAUUUAUUUUAGUCCCCAUAAAAAUCUUACAGAACAUGUUCAAAAUCGAAAACACAAAGAGAAGAGUGGUCAUAGAUUUUGUUUUCUCAAAAAUGGACACCACAAUACUAAAAUGUUGCUACAAAGAUAAGACAGUAAUAUUAUCUGUGAGAGCUUUAAUCCUUAACCAGUUGAUGGGAAAAGUACUGUGGUAAUUGGUCACUCGUUCUAUCACAAUGCUGUUUGAAACACCCAGGUAAAUAUACUUACAAUUUUAUCCAAUAAACUAGCAUUGUAAACACAAUGGUACAAACAUAUUAAAGANGGGGGGGUUUAGGCAAGCAACAUCCAAUCAGGAAUGGAGAUGCAUUUGAAAUGAUAUCAAGGGAAUGACAUUAGGCUACAAUAUUGUUGAACUUAAAUAAACUACAGAGCAGGGCUUCCAUUAAAAUCAAUGACUAUUCAUUACAAGAAAUCAACACAAUUCCAUGGCCAUUUCUAGCACUGGAGACAUUCAGUCAAGCUUUUUCACCUAGUCGUCAGUAGUGAGGACAAUGUAAAGACAUGUCGAAGAGCAGUAUUUAAGACUUUUCACAUAGCUAAGGGCAGACUCACACAAUGCCCCAAACCCUUGGCCCUUUCCCAUAUACAUAACAAAGCACAGAAAACCUAAACAUACCCACAUUGGAGCAUAGGAGGGCAUAGAUACUGACUUAUUCAAUCAUCCACUUAAAGAAAAGCCUGUGCACUUGAACAUAUUCUUAAGACAAUCUAUGGGAUGCCAAAAGUCACUGCAUACCAUCUAAAAUAUCAUGGCAUCCAUAUAACACUGGGAAUAAAUGAUUUGUAUAGUCGUAGGUCUUAAAAUCAGUUUUUAAAAAGCAAACCUAGACAUCACAUAGACAGGCAAGCAGGACAGGGCUACACUGAUUAUAUGAGGCCUCUCCUCUGUCAAUCAUCAGAACACAGGUGAACAUCAAGGAAUUCUACUGCCUGAAGCUUGCAUGUGCACAUACUGUAAGCCACACAAACCCUAGCGGUUGGCUCUCCUACAAGAUCUGCUUUAAAACUGUAAAUAGAGGUACAUGCAAAAAUGCAGGGUUCGAGACGCUAUCGGGGUAACUAAUGAGCUUAUUUUCACAGGAAGUCAGAUAUUUAUUUUUUUACCCCCAUAUAAUUGAACAAUAUUUUAUUUCCCCCCAACAAAAAACAUUCCUUUAUAUUUAAUCACAAUAAAUGUUUGUAUACAAAUGAUAGUAUUUUCACAGAAGGAACAGUGGUUCUAUGCGCUACAGAGAGGAAACAUACGUUCACACACAAAGUUCUUAGAAAUGGCUAUGCAAAUGGUAGAAAAGCUUUGGCAUAUCUGCCUACAAGUUGUGCCUGCACACUUGGAAAUAAAAUGAGUACAACAGUGUAUGAACGUUUGGCUUCAUACUGCUCUCCAUUUACUAACAUGUAUGUUUAGUAAGCAGUCCCACAUAGAACUGUGGAGAGUUAGGUUAGGCUAUUUACACCUUACUUUGUUAGGCCUUAGGGUUUUAAGGUGGACGAUGCUACAUGUUCCCAGAUGUCCAGGCUGAGACGAAUGGCACCACCUUAAAAUGUACCACUAUCCCUAUUAGGUGACCGUUUCAACCACACAACUAAUAAUACUGCCCCAUGAUCAUUUUUCAUAUGGGAGUGAUCGAGACAAUCAUAUGAGAGACGAUUGUUCAAAUGUCACGGUCAUCUUAGUCUAAUAAGGGACGAUGUUCAACUACGACACUCUUCUGUAGCUAUUCAAUAGAAGUUGAUCAUGUCUGAUCCAUGGGAAAAAGAACAGACUAGAACAGGAAAAGCCUCCCCAAGACCAGGUCAAUUUAACUAAACCCUUAUGGGGUACACUCAAUAUGAUUCUUCUUCUAUGGUCGGAUCCCCUGGCGGUGACAAUGUUUAACGUAUAAGAACUCAAGCAGUAUGAGCAUGUAACCCACAGUGGAGCAGUGGGAUAAUAGAACCGCAUCUUGGCUACAGUCACAGAGGUCGACGGUGAGGGAAACCUUCCAUUUACACCACAGAUGUACUAAGUCCCUCUAACUGACAGGGCGUUUGAAAAAAAAAAACGAACAAUGUCUGGAAGAAGGUUCCGUUGGAGGAGCGUAAUCGCCCGUAGUAAUAAUCAAACCAGCAUGCCGAUGCAUAAUAUAGUCACAACUAACGCGUAAUGAAUGGCUAUUGAUUAACAAUCAACACCACUUAAAAAUGGUACUACGUUAUCAGAUUGAACGAGUGAUUUAUUUUAAAUGGUAAAAUCUCCUUGUCCCGAAUGGCCCAUACUGUUAUUGCAUGUAUCUAUUAGAAGACUCACUUACUGUGACUGGAAAACAACAUUUACCCUCCUCUAAAAGUCUCUUUCCACUGCACUACCUUAGGAAUAGAAUUACAUAGAACAUAGUAAUAUAAUAGUUAUUCUAUGUCUAUGUGCACUGCACUGUAUAUUGGCAUUGUGAUACUUGAACAAUGAUAUACUAUAAUUGAAAUGAAAGGCAUUUGGAGAAGGUAACCGGGCAACAGUAAUAGCCGUUCAGAAUAGGAGGACUGCACAGAGAGUAGGAGAGGGAUUGCACGAGCUACACAGGCAACUGUCUAACUCAGUUGAAUAAUUCAGUAUGUGAGUUUGCAGAGGUAGCUACAUCUACUCGAGGCUAAAAGAGCGGGAGCGCAAACAAAAGACAAAUAUUUAAAAAGAAACUCUUAAAC